GACGAACGCUGGCGGCGUGCUUAACACAUGCCAGUCGAACGGAAAGGCCCUGCUUUUGUGGGGUGCUCGAGUGGCGAACGGGUGAGUAACACGUGAGUAACCUGCCCUUGACUUUGGGAUAACUUCAGGAAACUGGGGCUAAUACCGGAUAGGAGCUCCUGCUGCAUGGUGGGGGUUGGAAAGUUUCGGCGGUUGGGGAUGGACUCGCGGCUUAUCAGCUUGUUGGUGGGGUAGUGGCUUACCAAGGCUUUGACGGGUAGCCGGCCUGAGAGGGUGACCGGCCACUUUGGGACUGAGAUACGGCCCAGACUCCUACGGGAGGCAGCAGUGGGGAAUAUUGCACAAUGGGCGGAAGCCUGAUGCAGCAACGCCGCGUGCGGGAUGACGGCCUUCGGGUUGUAAACCGCUUUCGCCUGUGACGAAGCGUGAGUGACGGUAAUGGGUAAAGAAGCACCGGCUAACUACGUG
rnacentral:rRNA from 1 species